rnacentral:rRNA from 1 species
UUGCUUCUUGGGUGACGAGCGGCGGACGGGUGAGUAAUGCAUAGGAAUCUGCCCGAUAGUGGGGGAUAACCUGGGGAAACCCAGGCUAAUACCGCAUACGUCCUACGGGAGAAAGGGGGCUCCGGCUCCCGCCAUGGGAUGAGCCUAUGUCGGAUUAGCUAGUUGGUGAGGUAACGGCUCACCAAGGCCACGAUCCGUAGCUGGUCUGAGAGGAUGAUCAGCCACAUCGGGACUGAGACACGGCCCGAACUCCUACGGGAGGCAGCAGUGGGGAAUAUUGGACAAUGGGCGCAAGCCUGAUCCAGCCAUGCCGCGUGUGUGAAGAAGGCCCUCGGGUUGUAAAGCACUUUCAGCGAGGAAGAACGCCUAGCGGUUAAUACCCGCUAGGAAAGACAUCACUCGCAGAAGAAGCACCGGCUAACUCCGUGCCAGCAGCCGCGGUAAUACGGAGGGUGCAAGCGUUAAUCGGAAUUACUGGGCGUAAAGCGCGCGUAGGUGGCUUGAUAAGCCGGUUGUGAAAGCCCCGGGCUCAACCUGGGAACGGCAUCCGGAACUGUCAAGCUAGAGUGCAGGAGAGGAAGGUAGAAUUCCCGGUGUAGC